rnacentral:tRNA from 1 species
CCAUCGGUGGUUCAGUGUUAGAAUGUUCGCCUGCCACGUGGGCGGCCCGGGUUCGAUUCCCGGCCGAUGCA